GGUUGUUGCUCAGUGGUAGAGUGCUUGCCUAGCAUGUGUGAGGCCCUGGGUUCAAUUCUCAGCACUA
rnacentral:tRNA from 1 species